rnacentral:rRNA from 1 species
UACGUAGGAGGCGAGCGUUGUCCGGAGUUACUGGGCGUAAAGGGUGCGCAGGCGGCGGUUCGCGUGGCGAGAUGAAAUCUCCUGGCUUACCUGGGAGGAUGGUCGCCAGACGGGAUCGCUUGAGGGUCGGAGAGGGGCGUGGAAUUCCGGGUGGAGCGGUGAAAUGCGUAGAUAUCGUGAGGAAGACCAGUGGCGAAGGCGGAUCUCUGGACAGUUCCUGACGCUGAGGCGCGAAGGCCAGGGGAGCAAACGGG